rnacentral:lncRNA from 1 species
AUUGGUAAUUGAUAUUGCGAAAAUUAUAUCUGCUAUGUUAUUUCAUUUGAUUCGAUAUAAUUAGAAAUAUAGUAUAGUUGGAUAUAUGUAAUUAAAAAUAUAGCAGUUAUAAUUAUAUAAAUUUUAUUUGGUUGGAUGCCGUGAAAAACACUAUAAAUAUAAAUAAUUUAUUUGAUUGUAUGCAAUUGAGAUGUGCAUUUCUAAAAUUUGUCACUGUAUAUACAUGUAAUGGUGAGAUUACCUCCAAUCUAGAACAUAAAAUUAUUUUCUGUUUAAAAAGUGAUUAGGAAAGUAAAAUUACCUUCCAUUUAAAGCUAUUGUCUCUAAUUGGUGUAGUCAGAAUUACAGUCAAUUUGGAAAUAAUUCCAACUGCUGCAGUUUAAC